GGGCCCAUAGCUCAGCUAGGUAGAGUGCUGGGCUCCAGACCCAGUGGUCCGGGGUUCGAGUCCCCGUGGGCCCA
rnacentral:tRNA from 5 species